AUUGAACGCUGGCGGCAGGCCUAACACAUGCAAGUCGAGCGGAUGAAGGGAGCUUGCUCCUGGAUUCAGCGGCGGACGGGUGAGUAAUGCCUAGGAAUCUGCCUGGUAGUGGGGGAUAACGUCCGGAAACGGGCGCUAAUACCGCAUACGUCCUGAGGGAGAAAGUGGGGGAUCUUCGGACCUCACGCUAUCAGAUGAGCCUAGGUCGGAUUAGCUAGUUGGUGGGGUAAAGGCCUACCAAGGCGACGAUCCGUAACUGGUCUGAGAGGAUGAUUAGUCACACUGGAACUGAGACACGGUCCAGACUCCUACGGGAGGCAGCAGUGGGGAAUAUUGGACAAUGGGCGAAAGCCUGAUCCAGCCAUGCCGCGUGUGUGAAGAAGGUCUUCGGAUUGUAAAGCACUUUAAGUUGGGAGGAAGGGCAGUAAGUUAAUACCUUGCUGUUUUGACGUUACCAACAGAAUAAGCACCGGCUAACUUCGUC
rnacentral:rRNA from 1 species